ensembl:lincRNA
GCCCUGGGCGCAGUCCCCGUCAGAGCCAGCGGGAAGGUGGCGGAUGAUACGAGGAGAACCAGCCAGCUGCCCAAGGGUGCAGAGGGCAACCGUGUGGGCAAGGGCGACCUGCAGUCCACCCUGCUGGAGGGGCACGGCACGGCACCGCCUGACCUGGAUCUCUCGGCCAUCAACGGUGAGCGCCAGGCCUUCUUGGAUGCUGGGCUUGGGGCUGUGACCGCGUGCCAGCCAGGGAAGGGAACCCUCAGCCGGGACCGCAUGGCGUUGGGCUCGGGUCGGUCCAUCUACUCUUAUCGCUGGGCAGCAGCAGUGAGGGCAGCUCCCAGGCAGCCCCACGGGCACCGAGGGACAGCUGUGCUCCUGCAGGCUGCCUGGCAGGGUGGACAGAGUGAGCAUGUUGUGCUUCUGCAGUUCACAACACAGUGGGCAGUGAUCACCAGACUGUGAGUCCGUGACACUCAUGCCUCCCGCUUCUUUACCGUAGACAAGAGCAUGGUUAGGAAGACACCACAGUUAGAUAAGACAGCGUCAUGGAAAGCCAAGUCGACCUCCUUCUCGGCCCCUCAGAGAAAGAGCCCGGUAAGCGGGUGGCAGGGAGGCUCUAGCCUGGUCGCUGGAGAUUCCGUGUCCCAUCCCUGUCCUGUCCACUGGCAGAGACAAAGACACCAGGGGCGCCCAGGAAGGUGGAAGAGCAGCGCCCUCUAGCUGUGCGGGGCUUGGGUGCAGCGUGUCAGGUCGGGAUUCUCCCCACCGGGCAGCGUCAGAGCCAGACCGGGUGCCCUCCCUGCCCUCCGGGAGGCUGAGGCAGGAAGGUCAAAAGUUUGAGCCCAGCCCGGCAAUAGGUGACUCAGCCAGUUCCUGUCUCAAAAUAAGAAGGUUUUUGAAGGGCUGGGGCUGAAGCUCAGCUCAGCAGUCCUGCCUCGGCCUCUCUCUCAGGAUCUGGCGGAGGUGGUGGAGAUGGUGGCUUCCCAGACGUUACUGCUGACCUUGCUGACGGUGAAGAUGGAGAACGGGCUGGCGCGGCUGGAGGAGCGGGCGGAGCGGAGCCUCCUCCUCGUGUGCCGGGAGCGCGGGCGGCUGCAGCGGGAGGCCCACGAGCGGAGGCGCGAACUGCUGCUGCGGCAGAGACGCCGGGAGCUGGCUGACGUCCUGGACGCCCAGACCGAGGCGCUGCGCCCCUUCGAGGCGGUGGCUGGGCGCUUCCAGGAGCGGUACAGGACGCUGGCCUCGGCCCUGGGCUCCACCCGGCACGAGCUGCCCCUGCGCGCCGUCCACCUGGAGCACGGCGGCUGGCAGCUCCUCGACGCCCUGCAGGCCGAGCUGACGACCACCCACCGCCUGCUGGCCGAGCUGGGCAUCGGCGCCGAGGAGGACGGCCCGCUGCUGGCCCUGCUGGCUGAGUUGAGGGAGGCGACCACGCAGAAGGACUGCGAGCUCCGGAGGAGCUUCGAGCAGGUGCUGGAGCUGUCCGCCAAGGCCAGCAAGGAGGCGGCCCUGGCCAGCCAGGAGGCCUGGGAGGAUGCACAGGGCGCUGAGGCCGCCCACCGCUGGUACUUCAGCCCCAACGGAGGCACCGCAGGGACCCUCGGGGAAACCCAGCUCUCAGCCCCGGCCCGGAGAGGCGCUCCCUGCGCACCACUGGGGAAGGCUGUGCGGUGA